GUGGGGAAUCUUCCGCAAUGGACGAAAGUCUGACGGAGCAACGCCGCGUGAGUGAAGAAGGUUUUCGGAUCGUAAAGCUCUUUCGUUAGGGACGAACGUGCUCUUUGUGAAUAAUGAGGAGUAAUGACGGUACCUAAAUAAGAAGCCACGGCUAACUACGUGCCAGCAGCCGCGGUAAUACGUAGGUGGCAAGCGUUGUCCGGAAUUAUUGGGCGUAAAGCGCGCGCAGGCGGGAUAUCAAGUCUGUCUUAAAAGUGCGAGGCUCAACCUCGUGAGGGGACAGAAACUGGUAUUCUUGAGUGUCGGAGAGGAAAGUGGAAUUCCAAGUGUAGCGGUGAAAUGCGUAGAGAUUUGGAAGAACACCAGUGGCGAAGGCGACUUUCUGGACGAUGUCUGACGCUGAGGCGCGAUAGCUAGGGGAGCGAACGGGAUUAGAUACCCGGGUAGUCC
rnacentral:rRNA from 1 species